UUAUAAUUAUAGAAUAAUGACGUAAUACACUGAGGUACUACAAAAAUGUAUAUAAAAGAAGAAACAAAAAUAAAGAUCAAAAGGGGUACACGAUUGAGUGAGAAUGAGAAGCCAACAAUAGAUAUCAUCAUACCUAUCAUGUAGAGUUUCUUUUUGUUUUUCUCAAACAUGAGUUAGAUGGCCUGAAUAAACUGAAAUAUACAAAGAGGAAUAUCAUCGAAAGAGCAACACCUCAGUGUAAGGACCCAGGAAGGUCAUGAGCAGUAGUGACUCAAAGUAAGGUUUGUCACAAAACAAAACAAAAUCGUAUAUACCGUAUGUAUAAAACGAAGCAAUGGCUGCAAGUAGGGAAACGGACAGGGACGGCUAUGACCUUCCUGAUGGUGAUAUAGAUAUAGCGGAACAUUCGAAAUGUGCACUUAAAAGAUAUUCAACAUGUUUUGCAUACAUCAAUAACAGACUUAAUACGUUCAACAACUUGCCAUCAAGUGUUAAUAUGUGGCCAAAACAUCUUGCAGAAGCUGGGUAUAUACUUGUCAAUGGAAAUAUAAUUCAGUGUUAUGAGUGCGCUUCAAUAUUAGAAGUGGGUAGCAUGCAGGGAAUUAUGGAUCCUUUAGAGAUACACCACCUGAAAUCUCCAUCCUGUAAGUUUUUACGCUUUCAGAAGUUAAAGAAAGAGAAUGAGGAUCUCAGGAAUUCAUUUAAAUGUUUUCAAUGCAGAAAACGACAUUUAUCAUAUGUUUUGGUACCAUGUAGCCAUGUUGCUUGCGACACAUGUUAUGUUACAACCGUUUGCUUAUGUAGCGCACUGGUAGAAAAAAGACAUGCAGUAUCAUUGCCACUAGUAUCUCAAAAUUGACAAUUGCAUACUACAUCAGAAAUCUGCUUGUGAAAUGAUACAUUACAGUGCUAUCAAUUAUUUUUUCUACCGAUUGCUGCAACUUUUAAACUUUCGAUUUGGACUUAUAGUAUUCAAAGGCAAUCCACAAAGCCUAUAUUUGACAUUUCCGACAUAUGAAUAAGUCACAUAUCAAAUAUGUAAUGUUUUGAUAGAGGAAAAGCAAGAUUCUUUCCACUUUUCCAUUUAUGAAACGUGUUCAAUUAUUAAAUAAAAUCAGAAGGUUGA